rnacentral:lncRNA from 1 species
CUAGAAAUUAAACGACUAAAAUCAAAAACCCUAAAAUCAAACUGUAGAAGAAUCAAGAAAUUAACAAAUUAUUAUUACUCAAAAUCAUCAUAAUCAAGUUAACAACAAAUUAACGAGAUAGUAAUCGGAGUUAUAGAGAGAUACAACGAGAAAGAGAGAGAGAGGAAGAGAGAAGAACAUGUGUUGAGAGAGAGCAAUCGGAGCUACAGAGGGAAACGUGUGAGUCUUGAAGAGCAAUUG